GCUCAGCGCCCGACCUCCAACCCUUUGUCGUUAAAACUACCUUGUUGCUUUGGCGGGACCGCUCGGUCUCGAGCCGCUGGGGAUUCGUCCCAGGCGAGCGCCCGCCAGAGUUAAACCAAACUCUUGUUAUUUAACCGGUCGUCUGAGUUAAAAUUUUGAAUAAAUCAAAACUUUCAACAACGGAUCUCUUGGUUCUCGCAUCGAUGAAGAACGCAGCGAAAUGCGAUAAGUAAUGUGAAUUGCAGAAUUCAGUGAAUCAUCGAAUCUUUGAACGCACAUUGCGCCCCUUGGUAUUCCGAGGGGCAUGCCUGUUCGAGCGUCAUUACACCACUCAAGCUAUGCUUGGUAUUGGGCGUCGUCCUUAGUUGGGCGCGCCUUAAAGACCUCGGCGAGGCCACUCCGGCUUUAGGCGUAGUAGAAUUUAUUCGAACGUCUGUCAAAGGAGAGGAACUCUGCCGACUGAAACCUUUAUUUUUCUAGGUUGACCUCGGAUCAGGUAGGGAUACCCGCUGAACUUAAGCAUAUCAA
rnacentral:rRNA from 1 species